CUUGAACAUUUUAUCUUAAUGCAUAUAAAAUAUUUUCUGAAAAAUAAAAUGCAUAAUAUACCAUCUAAACCCUUGGCAUAUAAAUUUAAAUUCUGAAUUAUAUCUAAACCCAUUGCUUAGAUCUAAACAUACAUUCAGCUAUUUCUUGAUCCAUGCAUCUCAUUUAAACAAAAUGAUGAUUGAUCCUUAUUCAAACUCUAAAGGGCUUUAACCAACCCAAAAUUGAAUUAUAAGGAUCAAUAGAUGCAAUGACCAAUUGAUUAUACUCAUACCAGAAAUGCUUAAAGCAAAUAGAUUAUGUGAUUCGGGGAAAGUCUUAUUAAAAUCACAAAUCAUAUGCAUCAAAGCUUCUAUUGCUUGCAUAAAAUUUCUGAAAGCUUGAACUUGCUUGGUAAAUAAUCAGAUGUUGAGAGGAAUGUUUGAACCAUCAGAUUAUUCUGCCUUAAAUCUCGCUGGAGAUAAUUACCUAGAAUGGAUAAAGAACACUCGUGUUGCCCUAAGUUCCAGAGGACUUGGAAAUUGCCUCAAUGAGUAUCUUAAUAUUGGUAUCCUUAAAAGUGAAAUGCAUAGAGCUAUAACGAUUAUUCGUUAUCAUCUCGCUGAGGAGCUAAGAGACCUAUACCUCCAUGUUGAGGACCCUUGUGCCCUUUGGCUACAGUUAGGGCAAAGGUUCAAACCAGUAUUACUGCAAAAGGCUAACGAUCAAUGGGAAACUAUCAGAUUCACGGAUUUUAAAUCCGUGGAUGAGUAUAACUCUGCCCUGAUGGAUAUAGUUGAUGGUCUUAUACUAUGUGAUGAAAUAAUAACAAAUGAGGACUUAAUAUAUAAGACCUACUCCACCUUUCAUCCAUAGGAUGUGCAGCUGAUUAACAAGGCUAAGAAAUUCACCAUCUAUGAGGAUCUCUUGUCAUAUCUUUUGGCUUCCGAACAGAAAAUCAUUCUUGUCACCAUCGACAAAGCUGAUAAGCUUCUGAAAAGAAUCCGUGAACUAAGAGAACGAGCUUUUGGCCUCUUAAGCUGAAAUUGAGCCCCAGAUUGCAGCUCAUGAAUUAAAAGACCAGAAUAUUUGGCUUUAUGUCUUUUGUUUCCCAUGUUCUAUGAUUUUGGCAAUUCUAUUUAUGAAAUAAAGUUUUUACUUUAUAUAUAUGCCUUAUACAAAGUUGAAAUUAUUAAGAACAUAAAACAAACAAUGUUAGCCUAUAUAUAUGUACUUACAUAACCCUCUUUUCUUUCUAAACAAACCUCUCUUCUUGUUCUACUAUAUUCUUCUAUUUUCAAUUUUUUUCCAUUAGCAAUCUUAGCUCUCUGAUCGAUUACCUUCUAUACUUUCCAAUAGAUUAUUAUCUAUUGCUAAUAUGUACCGAUGGUGAUUUAUCAUGACCAAUCAAGAUAUGAAACGGUGGUGACUAAUCAUGACAAAUCAAGAUAUGGUGACUAAUCAUGAAAAAUCAAGAAACUAAUUCCACUUGGUCUAGUUAUUAUCAUGUAAUGCAAUGUACCGACAGAGGAAUUAGGCGUGAGAUACACAAUGUUGAACUCUAUGAUAGUGUCAUGAUGUGGAGGCAAGGUGGUUUUCUCUCUAUUCCAUUGGGAAAGAAGGCUUUUCCGCAUUUUGUGGAGCUCGUGAGUGUCCAUAUUCGUAAGGAUGAAAUGAAUUAUAAGAUGGAUUAUGAAGAACAUGAUUCUGAAGAGGAGGAUAAUUAAAAGAUGCUAAUCUCCGUAUUUUUGAAUACUGUAUAUUAAUCUAUUUGGAUAUUAAUCCCUUUUGAAUAUCAGUUAAGUUUGUUAUGCUCAA